rnacentral:tRNA from 1 species
GGCCUCGUAGCUCAGCUGGUAGAGCGUGCUCUGUAGCGAAGCGUAGGUGGCUUCCACACGUGGAUUCGAAUCCCGCCGAAGCUA